rnacentral:rRNA from 1 species
UAAUACGUAGGGUGCAAGCGUUGUCCGGAAUUAUUGGGCGUAAAGAGUUCGUAGGCGGUUUGUCGCGUCCGUUGUGAAAGCUUGGGGCUCAACCCCAAGUCUGCAGUGGAUACGGGCAGACUAGAGUCAGGUAGGGGAGAACGGAAUUCCUGGUGUAGCGGUGAAAUGCGCAGAUAUCAGGAGGAACACCGGUGGCGAAGGCGGUUCUC